UACGGGGGAUGCGAGCGUUAUCCGGAUUUAUUGGGUUUAAAGGGUGCGUAGGCGGCGCUUCAGGUCAGCGGUGAAAGUUUGUGGCUCAACCAUAAAAUUGCCGUUGAAACUGGAAGACUUGAGUGUGUUUGAGGUAGGCGGAAUGCGUGGUGUAGCGGUGAAAUGCUUAGAUAUCGCGCAGAACCCCGAUUGCGAAGGCAGCGUACCGGCUCCACACUGACGCUGAGGCACGAAAGCGUGGGUAUCGAACAGG
rnacentral:rRNA from 1 species